UACAACAUAGUGUUAAUGUAUUAGAUCCCAUUAGAACUCUGUAGUUAAGCACACUUGUGAUAGAGUAGUAUUGGGAUGGGUGACCACUUGGGAAUUCCUAGUGUUUUAC
rfam:Picea glauca, whole genome shotgun sequence.